rnacentral:rRNA from 1 species
AGUCGGGGAUAUUGCGCAAUGGACGAAAGUCUGACGCAGCGACGCCGCGUGGGCGAUGAAGGCCUUCGGGUUGUAAAGCCCUUUUAUGGGGGAAGAGACAAGGACGGUACCCCAAGAAUAAGCGUCGGCUAACUACGUGCCAGCAGCCGCGGUAAAACGUGGGACGCAAGCGUUAUCCGGAUUUACUGGGCGUAAAGAGCGUUGAGGCGGUUCCGUAAGUUGGACGUGAAAGCCCCUGGCUUAACUAGGGGAGGUCGUUCAAUACUGCGGAACUUGAGGACAGCAGAGGGAGGUGGAAUUCCCGGUGUAGCGGUGAAAUGCGUAGAUAUCGGGAGGAACNCCAGUGGNGAAGGCGGCCUCCUGGGCUGUUCCUGACGCUGAAGGCGAAAGCUAGGGGAGCAAACGGGAUUAGAAACCCCGGUAGUCCUAGCUGUAAACGAUGGAUGCUGGGUGUGGUGGGUAUAGACUCCCUCCGUGCCGAAGCUAACGCGUUAAGCAUCCCGCCUGGGGAGUACGGCCGCAAGGCUA